UGGAGCUGUGCGUGGUGUUGUGCUGAAGAUCUGGAGCUGUGCGUGGUGUUGUGCUGAAGAUCUGUCUGUGCCCUUUGGUGCUGUCAGAAGUGACAGAUCCCAGAUGGAGCAGCUACUGUAUGUGAGAUUGAGUUUCUCAGCACAAAAGUCUUUGCCUCCUUGCUAAGCGUCUCCAAAAAGCUCCGCUAAGAUCCUGCUGAUCAGUGCUGUGUGCCAGUCUCUCCCUCCCUGUCCGGCCAACUGCUACCGGCGCACUGCUGCUCCACAUCUGUGGCACCCAUGGGCUACUGACACAAGGGAGCCCUGUCAACUGGUACAAAUGAGAAGGGGAAAGAGUUGCCUUGAGGACUGCAAAAUGAAUUAUUAGUUGUCCAACAUUAAAGGCAAGCCAUUGAGGA